UGGGAACGUGCCCAAAGGUACGGAACAACUCCGGGAAACUGGAGCUAAUACCGUAUGUGCCCGAAAGGGGAAAGAUUGAUCGCCUUUGGAUCGGCCCGCGUCUGAUUAGCUAGUUGGCGGGGUAAUGGCCCACCAAGGCAACGACGGGUAGCUGGU
rnacentral:rRNA from 1 species